GUGAACGCUGGCGGCGUGCUUAACACAUGCAAGUCGAACGGUAACAGGAAGUAGCUUGCUACUUUGCUGACGAGUGGCGCACGGGUGAGUAAUAUAUAGUUAAUGUGCCUCGAAGACUGGGAUAGCCACUGGAAACGGUGAUUAAUACUAGAUACACCUUUUUAACAUAAGUUAAAUCGGGAAAUGUCUUUUCGCUAAGAGAUCAGUCUAUGUCCUAUCAGCUAGUUGGUGAGGUAAUGGCUCACCAAGGCUAUGACGGGUAUCUGGUUUGAGAGGAUGAUCAGACACACUGGAACUGAGACACGGUCCAGACUCCUACGGGAGGCAGCAGUGAGGAAUAUUGCACAAUGGAGGAAACUCUGAUGCAGCAACGCCGCGUGGAGGAUGACGCAUUUCGGUGUGUAAACUCCUUUUAAGAGGGAAGAUAAUGACGGUACCUCUUGAAUAAGCACCGGCUAACUCCGU
rnacentral:rRNA from 1 species